GCCAGAUGCAGUGGUGUGGGCCUGUAGUCCCAGCUACUCAAGAGGCUGAGGUAAGAGGAUCACCGGAGCCAAGGGGUUCUGGGUGUACGGCACUAUGCCGAUCAGUUGUCCGCAGUAAGUUUGCCAUCAGUAUGGUGACCUCCCAGGUGGGAUAUGGAGCAAGUGAAAACUCCUGUGCUGAUCAGUAGCGGGAUCCUACCUGUGAAUAACCACUGCACUCCAACCUGGGCAAGAUAGCAAGUCCCCAUCUUUA
ensembl:misc_RNA Metazoa_SRP Metazoan signal recognition particle RNA